rfam:Spinacia oleracea cultivar SynViroflay scaffold29209.con0003.1, whole genome shotgun sequence.
AGACCAUGGUGUGGGCACUCUCUCUGAAGAUCUUUGAACCUUUCCCAGACUUCAAACAAUCUCUCACCGGCCUGUUGUGUGAUAGCAAUAAUCUGGCUCCUUAGACG